rnacentral:tRNA from 1 species
UCCCUAGUGGCCCAGAUGGUAAAGCUUCUAUCUGCAAUGCAGAAGACAUGGGUUCGAUCCCUAUGUUGGGAA